rnacentral:rRNA from 1 species
AGCUCCAAUAGCGUAUAUUAAAGUUGUUGCAGUUAAAAAGCUCGUAGUUGGACAUCUGGUGGGAGCGAUCGGUCCGACGCUUGGCGUGGGUACUCGCAUCGUCUCCGGCCAUCCUUGGAGAGAGCCUGUCUGGCAUUAGGUUGUCGGGCAGGGGAUCCCCAUCGUUUACUGUGAAAAAAUUAGAGUGUUCAAAGCAGGCUUAUGCCGUUGAAUACAUUAGCAUGGAAUAAUAAGAUAGGACUUUGGUACUAUUUUGUUGGUUUGUGCACCGAAGUAAUGAUUAAUAGGGACAGUUGGGGGUAUUCGUAUUGCGUAGUCAGAGGUGAAAUUCUUGGAUUUACGCAAGACGGACUACUGCGAAAGCAUUUACCAAGGAUGUUUUCAUUAAUCAAGAACGAAA